rnacentral:rRNA from 1 species
GAUGAACGCUGGCGGCGUGCCUAAUACAUGCAAGUCGAGCGAACAGAUAAGGAGUUUGCUCCUUUGACGUUAGCGGCGGACGGGUGAGUCACACGUGUGUAACCUACCUAUAAGACUGAAAUAACUCCGGGAAACCGGGUCUAACGCCGGAUAACAUUUAGAACCGCAUGGUUCUUAAGUGAAAGAUGGCUUUGCUAUCACUUAUAGAUGGUCCCGCGCCGUAUUAGCUAGUUGGUAAGGUAACGGCUUACCAAGGCAACGAUACGUAGCCGACCUGAGAGAGGGAUCGGCCGCACUGGAACGGAGACGCGGUCAAGGCGCCUACGGGAGGCAGCAGUAGGGAAUCUUCCGCAAUGGGCGAAAGCCUGACGGAGCAGCGCCGCGUGAGUGAUGAAGGUCUUCGGAUCGUAAAACUCUGUUAUUAGGGAAGAACAAAUGUGUAAGUAACUGUGCACGUCUUGACGGUACCUAAUCAGAAAGCCACGGCUAACUACGUG